AGAAGUCUGUGGGGGCAAUCUGGUUGAAACAUCUGUCACUGUAUUGAUCACCAGGGUUGAUUAGGCUGAUCUGGGUAGGUAGUCAGUUGUCAUCUUCCUCCAUCAUGGCUCUAUGUGUGUCUCUCUGUGCUCGAUCAAAAGUGAUGACCCUCCCCAAUAGAGGAGGACAAUUCUUCCAUCAAUGGUAUAGGAGAACCUAUGUUCCCCGGCUAAAAUCUCCAAACGAGCUCUCAAGAUCCAUUUGUAGGAAAAUGUAGGGUAGUCAAGCUUCCAAGACUCUAGACACAGCCAAGAAAAUGCUGCAUGUGGCAGUCUGCCUUUCUU
ensembl:misc_RNA 7SK 7SK RNA